rnacentral:rRNA from 1 species
AUUGAACGCUGGCGGCAUGCCUUACACAUGCAAGUCGAACGGCAGCACGGGAGCAAUCCUGGUGGCGAGUGGCGAACGGGUGAGUAAUAUAUCGGAACGUGCCCAGUCGUGGGGGAUAACGUAGCGAAAGCUACGCUAAUACCGCAUACGAUCUACGGAUGAAAGCGGGGGAUCGCAAGACCUCGCGCGAUUGGAGCGGCCGAUAUCAGAUUAGCUAGUUGGUGGGGUAAAGGCCCACCAAGGCGACGAUCUGUAGCUGGUCUGAGAGGACGACCAGCCACACUGGAACUGAGACACGGUCCAGACUCCUACGGGAGGCAGCAGUGGGGAAUUUUGGACAAUGGGCGCAAGCCUGAUCCAGCAAUGCCGCGUGCAGGAUGAAGGCCUUCGGGUUGUAAACUGCUUUUGUACGGAGCGAAACGGUCCUUUCUAAUAUAAGGGGCUAAUGACGGUACCGUAAGAAUAAGCACCGGCUAACUACGUGCCAGCAGCCGCCGUAA